CAUGGCCCCCAGCCGCGCUCCCCGCCCGCGCACCCGGCGACAGGGUGGUGCGGGCGCCGCCGCCGCUCGCCUGGAAAUGCGAGCUACCUGGACAGUGACAUUUCUGAGAAGUCUUGUUCAGCUUCAAGAGCCCAGAAGAGCCGUGCCCUCAGGACUUGCCGUUGUGAGGACACUGCUUUCCAGGAAGACAGGCCUAUGUGACUGGAGGUGGCAGACCUCGGAUGACUAAGUACGGCACUGUCGUAGCUGUCGCUAACACAGAAAGCAGAAGUUCACAGGACCAGAGGUCAACAGGAGCUGCCUAGUCCGGGAAGGUUUCUAAAAAUGGAGAAUGGAGCUGAACUGUGCAGGAAGACAGGGAUGUCACCGAGACAGGAAGGAGCACAGCGAGGACAGUGCGCAAAGCCGCUGGCCCAUAAUACCUUCUUCAUUUAAAAACUU
rnacentral:lncRNA from 1 species